GAUGAACGCUGGCGGCGUGCCUAAUACAUGCAAGUCGAACGAAACUUCUUCAUCACCGAGUGCUUGCACUCACCGAUAAAGAGUUGAGUGGCGAACGGGUGAGUAACACGUGGGCAACCUGCCCAAAAGAGGGGGAUAACACUUGGAAACAGGUGCUAAUACCGCAUAACCAUAGUUACCGCAUGGUAACUAUGUAAAAGGUGGCUAUACUACCGCUUUUGGAUGGGCCCGCGGCGCAUUAGCUAGUUGGUAGGGUAAAGGCUUACCAAGGCAAUGAUGCGUAGCCGAAUUGAGAGGUUGAUCGGCCACAUUGGGACUGAGACACGGCCCAAACUCCUACGGGAGGCAGCAGUAGGGAAUCUUCCACAAUGGGCGAAAGCCUGAUGGAGCAACGCCGCGUGGGUGAAGAAGGUCUUCGGAUCGUAAAACCCUGUUGUUAGAGAAGAAAGUGCGUGAGAGUAACUGUUCACGUUUCGACGGUAUCUAACCGGAAAGCCACGGCUAACUACGUG
rnacentral:rRNA from 1 species